CCCUAAGUAGCUUAACAAUAAAGCUUUAGCCUCUUGAUCUAAAGAUGGGUAGAAUACCCCUUAAGGA
rnacentral:tRNA from 1 species